rnacentral:rRNA from 1 species
GACGAACGCUGGCGGCGUGCUUAACACAUGCAAGUCGAACGAAGUGGCGAACGGGUGAGUAAGGGGUAAUCAACCUGCCCUUCCGCGGGGGACAACAGGUGGAAACGACUGAUAAUACCGCAUACUGAAGGUGGGGCUUGCGUCUGAUUAGCUAGUUGGAGGGGGAACGGGCCACCAAGGCGAGGCUCAGUAGCCGGGCUGAGGGGGUGAACGGGCACAUUGGGACUGAGACACGGCCCCGACUCCUACGGGAGGCAGCAGGUGGGAAACUUCCGGAAUGGAAGGAAGGUCGAACGGGCAACGCCGGGUGAGUGGUGACGGCUUUCGGGUUGUAAAGCUCUGUUAGUCGGGACGCGGUACCGGAAUAGAAAGCCACGGCUAACUACGUGCCAGCAGCCGCGGUAAUUC